ACAUAUGUAUGAAUAUAUCAAGAUUUCUUGCCAGUAGAGAAAGAGCCGGUUUCUAACCUAGAUUCUAAGCUCAUUCAUUGGAAUU